GACUCUAGGAGCUGCACACAUGUGCACAGCUGGCAGCAGCUGCAGCUGCUUCACACAAGCCAUCAGGCUGCCACCAUGGCUAUCUACAGGGACUCAAGCUACAGGAAGCCAGUGCCCAACGUUCUGGGUUCCCCACUAAAGUGCAACAUGCCUCUUCUGAAGUAGGGGUGCAGAGAAACGUCCCCAUCCCCGGCCUAGGUUUCUAGUCUGCACUGGGCAGCUGGGCCACUGAAUGGCAUGUGCCUCAGGAAGAACAUGUCUUUGAACAGUCAGAAUCUCUGAGACUGGCAGUGACGGCGGGUGCCCAACAGGCCUGUGGUGCGGCCUCAUCCCUCUGGCUCCUUUCCCAUGACUCUGGACUCUGCAGGCAGGAGGAGGCCAAACGGAUGGGACAGGACACGGCCAGCCACAGCGUGACCUCCAACACCACUGGUGGUCUUGUUCCAGUCUGCUCUCCUUGUUCCAGUGCUCUUCUAAAGCCCACUGGCGAGGAAGAGGUACACUCAGGCCUUCUCAAGUGGGAGAAUAAAGGCUGGCAGGAAUUGCAGGAGCCCCUCCGCAUUGCUGAGUUGCUAAACCCCACUCUGACUUCUUCAUCUUAAAUGUCCGGUAGUAACACUGACAGCAAAGAUCCUGACCUACCACAUGGGACCUUCCAGGCAGAGAGGUGGCUCACCCAAGCCCAUAGAUGCCAUGAGGGUGGAGAACAAAGAAUGCUGGUCUGCGAAGAAGGAAGGGAGAAGGUAUGCGUUCACUGCCAUGAUUCAACUGAGCACAUCUCACAGGGCUUCCACACCAUCCCUAUCCGAGGCUUUUCCAAGGAUGACACUGUGCACAUGGAUGUGCACACAAGUAGGCAUUUCAUACUAUUUUUUGAGUGAAUGAAUUGGAGGAGGGAAUGUGUGUGCAUUAAGACAAACUCAGUUGUGCCAAAAGAAGUUUCUAGGCAGGUACAAGGCUGUGGCUCUGUGGUUGUAUCUUGAGAGUAAAGCUGAGAAGGUGGGCAGUGGAUCACAUACUCUAGCAACCCCUGGUCAACAGCAGCUUGGGGCAAGGUGUUGGGAGCAGAGAGCACUGUGGGUGAUGCUCAGGAGGAAUCAGCCUGGCCCUCCAGGACAGCUUCUGAGGAACAAAACUGCAGGCAGUGACAAGAGGGCCCUACAAAUUAAGCCCUCUUCUCUUCAGUCAGACAUUUAGCCUACCAAUGUAGCAUGGGAAGGUCAAAGGACUUAAAGAGCGAUCAGGGUGACCACUGUGAACAUCCUUCUCCUGUCAACUAAAAGCAGUGCAGGUGAGACAGGCAACAGGCUGAGAGCUAAGCUGCAUGAAGCUGGCCUGUACCUGGGGCUCAUGAUGGUAAACAGGAGGGCAGCGCGGGCGCAGAGAGGAGUAUUCGUUCUUCUCUUUGUCCCUGGUCACCUCCUCCCUCCUUCUGUAACCCUCUGAGGAGAAAGCACUCGUGCUAAAGCUUCAGCUCCAAGCUCCCGGAGCACGGAAUCUGAGUGGGCUCCAGAUGAGCUGAGUGGCUUCUGGCUUCCUGUUUCUGGAAGGGCAGAGUGCAGCUCGCAGCACUCCACUGCUGAUGCCAAGGGCAGUUCUUCAUGGAGACCAGGGAGACUUGAGCAGGCAACAUUCAAAGCAGAAGGCAGAGUACGAUGACAGACACCGACGGCCGGACUGGCACAUCCAGCUGGCAGAGUCUGGUGUGGUGGCGGCUCAGACACCUGUUCCUCAGGUUCCCUCUCUGGCUCCUUGGUCACCCUCCUUGUCAGGAGCACAUCAGGAGGACUCUUCCAGGGCAUUGACCACUUGUUCGAGGAUGUCAGGGCAGUGAUCGGCUAUCUGCUGGAGAAUGGUGUUGGCAAACUCCUGCAGCUCGGCGUUGUCCCCUUCAACUUUCUCCAACUCGUUCUGAAGCUGAAAGGGAAAAGAGGCAGGGUUCAGGUGGAGUUCAGGUUAUUUGUACCGAGUGGGAAUUCAUCAGGAAAGAAAUGACAAGCAGAGUUGAUGUCCCUGUAUCAAAAGGAAUGUUCAAAACACACACAUUCCUAGACUCUCUUCAUGAAAGUAAGGCCCAGAGGAGUCAGUGCUGAGUCCAAGGCUGCACACUGUAACAUCCAGUGCUGACUUCAUGUGGAUGGCUGUGCCCAGGCGUCCAGACUCACAGGCCUGGGUGAUUGAGGAUCUCAACUUUGUGUGAAGCUCUUCCACAAAGAUUUCCCUUUGCUACAAACAGCUGUGUUUCUGUAGGGGCCUCAGGCAGCUUGGUUAUUCUGAUAGAUAUCCUAGCCCACUGCUGAGGAGAGACACACCCCCAAUGUGCUGUUCUCAGUUGCCCCGGACUGUCCUCCUCUAACUAGCGUCACCAGUGCCCUGUGUGAGGUCUGAAAGGCCGAGGAGCGAGACCCUGUGCUGAAACUCCUUGUAGGCUGACAGCAGGACAAGAACAUCAACAUGUAAGUCACAACCCAGUCCAGUGCACACAGAGGCUUGAGGACAUACUGGGAGAGAAGACACAUGGUUACUUCACUCUGGGCCGUAUGAGAAGCCACUAAAGGUGGUGAGGAUCUGGGUCACUUGGGAGAUCAGAGGCAGAUCAAAGGAACCUCGGGUAAGCUGGAUCCUACAGUGAGGUGGGGGUGGGGGUGGGGGUAUGGAGUUGAAGAGAUAGGCAAGGGCCAGACUCCAAGAGAAGCUAGAGCGCAAACCCCAACUGGUGCAAACUACAAGGAAAUCAUGUGCUUUUAAAUGACACACUGGCCCUGCUCUCGUCUUCUUAGAAGGUGACUUGGAAGGUUAGGAAAAAGCAGAUCAGUGGGCAGCAGGCAACACCCAGGGGUGAGCUUUGUAAGCACAAGGCAGACUCACACAGGGGACAGAAGAGGCACCCAUGAGAACAGAAACCACCUGUGAUGGGCUAGCGCGGAAUGAGUGGGUAACAUGGCUCUCAAAUUCUAAAAUAUUUUGUAGAAGAGCUGCUUCUAUUUUGUAGAAGGCAGGGUUCCAGGGGAGGGAGGAGGGAAACUGGAAACUGAGUGUCAAGUGUACAGUUCAGGUCCCAGUUUGGAACACAGCCUGGAUCUCAGUGUCAGCUCUGCCAUUUAUUGGCUGAUGUGACCCUGACCUCCCUCCCCUUCAGUAGGAUAGACCAGUAAUAUUUUCACAGGGCAGUUUUAUUAGAGGAUUUAACGACAAUCUCAUACGAAAGGCAGGGUAAUGCCCACUGCACUGAAAAUUCUUGAAAAAAGGUUAACUACUGUAAUUACUGUUAUCAAGCGGAGAAGAUGACCCAGAAAAAGUAGAUUAAGUGGCAAAGAGAACCAAGUUUUCAGGACCCCACUGUUUGUUGACUAGACAUUCUGAGCCAUGAAUGAGCUUGGUACUUCUCAAGUGCAGCCAUCAGAGGAGACUGGCAAUCUUCUUUCUGUUGACUGUUGACCCUGAUCUGGAGGCUCAAGAACCAUAUUUAGACCACGUUAAGCCUUAGUGCAUCUUUAAAAGAUUCAAGACAGGAGUUAAACUAAUCCAUUUUCACCUAACAAUAUACUGUACUUCCAAAUCAAAUCUCCAAAGCUGGCACAUAACUGACCUUGGGAAUGGGCUCUAGGGCCUAGUGCAUGCUGGGCAAACACUAUGGCUGAGCUGCGAACCCAGCAUCCACAAGGAUAUGUUAAAGAAGAAAGUAAAAACACUAUAAAACACACUAGCUAGAGGGCACUAUAUUAGUAUCAUAGUAUCCACUGGAUUUUGUAUUAGUUCUCCGCCCCCCCCCCCCCCGACAAAAUACCUGACACAAACCACUUUAAAGGAGUGACUUAUUUCAGCUCAUGGUUUUAGAGGGCUUGAUCUAUAGUCAGGUGCUAAGGGCUUGGCACCAGAUGGGAGCAUUACUGAGAUAGCUGAACCUUUAAGGGGUCCAAAGUUUUAGGCUCCUAGGAGGAGCUGUGCCUUUGCAGGGGACUGUGGGACUUUGGGCUGACCUUUCUUUGUGUGUGUGUGUACUCCAGCCACAACAUGAGCACUAGCUGCCCUGCUACAGGUUCAACAGCAAUAUGGCAACUGCUCGUGAGUGCAAUCUCUGAAGCGGAGACCAGCAUGCCUCCUUUCUCUGUGAGAUGACAGGCUUGUUACGGGGAGGGAGCUGACACACAUCCUCUAUUUUAUGGAAUGGCAAACCAACUCCCUUACUGUAAAUAUUAUAGUGAAAAAUAC
rnacentral:lncRNA from 1 species